UGGGGAGCAAACAGGAUUAGAUACCCUGGUAGUCCACGCCGUAAACGAUGUCUACUUGGAGGUUGUGGCCUUGAGCCGUGGCUUUCGGAGCUAACGCGUUAAGUAGACCGCCUGGGGAGUACGGUCGCAAGAUUAAAACUCAAAUGAAUUGACGGGGGCCCGCACAAGCGGUGGAGCAUGUGGUUUAAUUCGAUGCAACGCGAAGAACCUUACCUACUCUUGACAUCCAGAGAACUUUCCAGAGAUGGAUUGGUGCCUUCGGGAACUCUGAGACAGGUGCUGCAUGGCUGUCGUCAGCUCGUGUUGUGAAAUGUUGGGUUAAGUCCCGCAACGAGCGCAACCCUUAUCCUUGUUUGCCAGCGAGUAAUGUCGGGAACUCCAGGGAGACUGCCGGUGAUAAACCGGAGGAAGGUGGGGACGACGUCAAGUCAUCAUGGCCCUUACGAGUAGGGCUACACACGUGCUACAAUGGCGCAUACAGAGGGCAGCCAACUUGCGAAAGUGAGCGAAUCCCAAAAAGUGCGUCGUAGUCCGGAUUGGAGUCUGCAACUCGACUCCAUGAAGUCGGAAUCGCUAGUAAUCGUGGAUCAGAAUGCCACGGUGAAUACGUUCCCGGGCCUUGUACACACCGCCCGUCACACCAUGGGAGUGGGCUGCAAAAGAAGUAGGUAGUUUAACCUUCGGGGGGACGCUUACCACUUUGUGGUUCAUGACUGGGGUGAAGUCGUAACAAGGUAGCGCUAGGGGAACCUGGCGCUG
rnacentral:rRNA from 2 species